GAUCAUGGCUCAGGAUGAACGCUAGCGACAGGCUUAACACAUGCAAGUCGAGGGGCAGCACGGUGUAGCGAUACACUGGUGGCGACCGGCGCACGGGUGAGUAACACGUGUGCAACCAACCCCGUACCGGGAGAUAACCCGCGGAAACGUGGACUAACAUCCCAUGACACUCUAGAGCCGCAUGGCUCUAGAUUUAAAAUUCCGGUGGUACGGGACGGGCGACGCGCGACAUAGUAGUUGGCGGGUAA
rnacentral:rRNA from 1 species